UACGGGGGGAGCAAGCGUUGUUCGGAUUUACUGGGCGUAAAGGGCGCGUAGGCGGUCAGCACAAGUCAGUUGUGAAAUCUCCGGGCUUAACUCGGAACGGUCAACUGAUACUGUGCGACUAGAGUGCAGAAGGGGCAACUGGAAUUCUCGGUGUAGCGGUGAAAUGCGUAGAUAUCGAGAAGAACACCGGUGGCGAAGGCGGCUCGCUGGGCUGGUUCUGACACUCAGCCGCGAAAGCGUGGGGAGCAAACAGG
rnacentral:rRNA from 1 species